GGAGAAAGAAGCAUCAUGCCUGCCACAUGCUGCACACUGUUCUUUCACUAGGGUGUCCUUCGUCCAUGAACAGUAUCAGCAAGCGGGUCAAACAAUGGCUUGUUUACUUGAUUAUUUCAUGCAUGGAUUAUUGCCAGCAGAAGGGACUGCAAUGCCCCUGAGACCAACUUUCCACGGUGUGGAGGGACAUUUCCUAAGUCAAGCCUUGCAGCAUCUUCUGGAUACUCAAAUCAAAACAGAUUUUGCUCUGCAGUUUUGACAGAGCUUGACGGGAAGCACUUGAUCCUGCUCCACAAGGAAUCAGCUGAGAUGGCUCAAAUUGGAGCUGCACAAUGGACUUGCAAUCCUGAUCGCUCAAGUGGCUGGCUGGCAAGUUAGUGCUGGCCAUUGGCUGGGAGCUCCCCCUGGCACCGGGUCUCGGUUCCUCUCCUUGAAGGCCUCCCCUCAGCUUCUUGGGCUUCCCUCCUGGAUGAUGGCUACAUUCCAAAGGCAAACAUCCUAAGUGAUCUAGACAAAAGGGGCUGGCAUUUGUAUGAUCUAGCUUUGGAAAGCACAUAACUUCACUUGCACUGUACCUUGUUAGUUAAGGGAGUCACUGCGCUUUUCAUUCAGGUUUAA